GCUAGCUUCUAUUAAAGACCAAUAUCGCAAUGAAGUUGGACGUGGCGCCGAGGUUCAGAAUAUCGUCACUUCAAACCAGGAGAGGCUGUCUGCUCUGAUCGAAUUGCAAAAAGAAGUAGCUGAGAAGGUAGUGACAUCUGGUGAAGGGCAGAAACAAUGCUCCGAAAAACUUGAAGGGAUGUCGAAACUUAUGCAAGAUCAUUCGUCGUCAACCGACGACAAACUGAGCAGCAUGAAAUAUAUCCUCCAAACUUUACGGGAUUCCAAUGGAUACGGAGGCAACGUUGCAUUUUUUCACGUCCAAGACGUCGACGAGCCUAACAAGAAAGCAAAGGAGGAGGGCUUUGCUGACACCCUCUCUGAUGUUGUGUUGUGUGGCUACUCCGUAAAGUUAAGUGUGAAAUUCAGACAAUAUGAUGGCCUUAUGUACAUAGGUGCUUAUCUGCGUAUUUGUCGUGGCACCAAAGACUCUCUCUUGAAAUGGCCCUUCUUAUUGUCCUAUACGCUCACCUUGAUGCAUCCAACUGACGAGAAAAAGAAUAUUUGGCUUGGUGUUGAUGUACCAAACGCGUUUAAAAAGUUUCCAGAAUGUUUCAAUAGGCCUGUCGAAAGUUCAAAUAUGGGCUUAGGCGCCCCUGAGUUGUGCAAACUGGAAGAUGCUCUGAAUGGAGGUUUUGCUCACGACAACUCAAUUACUGUUGGCGUUACCGUUGUCAUAAGCAGUAUGUGACUCAAGCUACACUCUUACCUGAGUUACUUCUAUUGUUACUUUUAGACCGUUGUUACGUGUAUUUAGAAGUAACAUCGGCUCAAAGGAAGAGGUAACACAGGAAAUUGCGAAUUUUAGAAGUAAAUUGGGUCUCGAAGAGCUGGGGCAGAGGUAACCUGUGGGGGAAAACCCCUGUCUUCUCCUGGUUACUUGUACGUGUUACUUCUAGUGGGAGUCCGUUACUUCUACGUCGUAAUGCGUUCGCAAACAAUCACAGCCGCUUUUGAUCGCUUUUGGUCGCUUAUCUUGCAACAGAUUACAGUAUCACACGAGAAGGGACACUACAUCGCGUCCUCGUGUUUUGUCGGUUGCAUCUUUUGAAAUCUGACGCCUCUGUGGCUGACAAGAUAAAUCACGCUCGUGGUUGUAGAUGUGUUGUGAACUGCUUUCAAAUGGCGUUUACAAACAAGGACUUCUGGGGAGUGCCGAGAGGCAGAUGCAAAGAGUGCGGGGACUGCAAGAAAUACACAGUGGAGUCCGGCAGUCGUCAUCUAAAAUAUGAAUACGGUGCGCACAGCCCGGUUUCACAUAACAGGAUACCUGAAAUAGCUGGUGAAGAACAUGUUCAGGACGUGAACUUGCAGCCACAGGAGGAAACAGGGCAUAGCUGUGACGUUUUCCAUGUUCAAUGUGAACUCCAUACUGUGGCUGGUUUCAUCCCUGCCGCUACAUGUACAAAUAUGGAAGCUCGUGAAUUGGAAAAUCCCCCGUUUUCGGCAAACGACGCUACGAUACCGAACACCGAGUCUUCCAACAUAUCAGAUAUUUAUGGUGGUGAAAGCGGCACCGUCCCCACAGCAACAAGCAAGAAUGAGGACAAGGUCCGUAUGCAUGCAUGCCGCCCCUGCAAUUUUACAACACAAUAUUUCACGCGAUUCUGUGAACACAUCAAAGCCCCUUUGGAGCUGUGUUCAUUCUACAUAGUCUCACAUAUGCCACCAUAUUGAGAAACGAUAUCUUCGUUAUCUUACGUUGCCAAUGCUGGGUUGUGUUUUCCUGAUAUUCACAAUAAAAUACGUGCCCAUGAAAGCCCAUGGUCAUUGUAUUUUGGUAUGUCACCCGUGUCGUGUUUCGUGUGUGCCUGCAUGCAAUUUGCUGCAUGCAUGCACGGACGCGAGGAACGGGCGGGUGCAGCCCCGGAGCCCCGGGAACGGUGUUACUUCUAAAUACACGAUGCAUCUGGUUACUUUUAGAGAG